ACAAACGGUUGGGAUGCCCUUACAUACGGCGAGUGAGCGGCAAAAGCUCAAAUUUGAAAUCUGGUACCUUCGGUGCCCGAGUUGUAAUUUGGAGAGGGCAACUUUGGGGCCGUUCCUUGUCUAUGUUCCUUGGAACAGGACGUCAUAGAGGGUGAGAAUCCCGUGUGGCGAGGAGUGCGGUUCUUUGUAAAGUGCCUUCGAAGAGUCGAGUUGUUUGGGAAUGCAGCUCUAAGUGGGUGGUAAAUUCCAUCUAAAGCUAAAUAUUGGCGAGAGACCGAUAGCGAACAAGUACAGUGAUGGAAAGAUGAAAAGAACUUUGAAAAGAGAGUGAAAAAGUACGUGAAAUUGUUGAAAGGGAAGGGCAUUUGAUCAGACAUGGUGUUUUGUGCCCUCUGCUCCUUGUGGGUAGGGGAAUCUCGCAUUUCACUGGGCCAGCAUCAGUUUUGGUGGCAGGAUAAAUCCAUAGGAAUGUAGCUUGCCUCGGUAAGUAUUAUAGCCUGUGGGAAUACUGCCAGCUGGGACUGAGGACUGCGACGUAAGUCAAGGAUGCUGGCAUAAUGGUUAUAUGCCGCCCGUCUUGAACCCCCGGACCA
rnacentral:rRNA from 1 species